AUUGAACGCUGGCGGCAUGCCUUACACAUGCAAGUCGAACGGCAGCACGGGAGCAAUCCUGGUGGCGAGUGGCGAACGGGUGAGUAAUAUAUCGGAACGUGCCCAGUCGUGGGGAUAACGUAGCGAAAGCUACGCUAAUACCGCAUACGAUCUAUGGAUGAAAGCGGGGGAUCGCAAGACCUCGCGCGAUUGGAGCGGCCGAUAUCAGAUUAGGUAGUUGGUGAGGUAAAGGCUCACCAAGCCGACGAUCUGUAGCUGGUCUGAGAGGACGACCAGCCACACUGGGACUGAGACACGGCCCAGACUCCUACGGGAGGCAGCAGUGGGAAUUUUGGGACAAUGGGCGCAAGCCUGAUCCAGCAAUGCCGCGUGCAGGAUGAAGGCCUU
rnacentral:rRNA from 1 species